rnacentral:rRNA from 1 species
AUUGAACGCUGGCGGAAUGCUUUACACAUGCAAGUCGAACGAUGAAGCCUAGCGUGCUAGGUCGAUUAGUGGCGAACGGGUGAGUAAUAUAUCGGAACGUAUCCAAUAGUGGGGGGUAGCUAGUCGAAGGAUUGGCUAAUAACGACUACAUCCUACGGGAGAAAGCUGGGGAUCGUAAGACCUGGCGUUAAUGGAGCGGCCGAUAUCUGAUUAGCUAGUUGGUGAGGUAAAGGCUCACCAAGGCGACGAUCAGUAGCUGGUCUGAGAGGAAGACCAGCCACACUGGAACUGAGACACGGUCCAGACUCCUACGGGAGGCAGCAGUGGGGAAUUUUGGACAAUGGGCGAAAGCCUGAUCCAGCCAUUCCGCGUGAGUGAAGAAGGCCUUCGGGUUGUAAAGCUCUUUCGCAAGGGAAGAACACUUACUUAAUAACACUAAGUGCGGUUGACGGUACCUUGAUAAGAAGCACCGGCUAACUACGUGCCAGCCGCCGCCGUAACAC